rnacentral:rRNA from 1 species
UACGAAGGUCCCAAGCGUUAUCCGGAUUUAUUGGGUUUAAAGGGUGCGUAGACGGGCUAUUAAGUCAGUGGUGAAAUCUCCGAGCCUAACUCGGAAAUUGCCAUUGAUACUGAUGGUCUUGAGUACAUUUGAAGUGGGCGGAAUGUGUCAUGUAGCGGUGAAAUGCUUAGAUAUGACACAGAACACCGAUUGCGUAGGCAGCUCACUAAACUGUAACUGACGCUGAGGCACGAAAGCGUGGGGAGCAAACAGG